GACGUAGGGCGCGAGCGUUGUCCGGAUUUAUUGGGCGUAAAGAGCUCGUAGGCGGCUUGUCGCGUCGACUGUGAAAUCCCGCGGCUCAACCGCGGGUCUGCAGUCGAUACGGGCGAGGCUAGAGUUCGGUAGGGGAGACUGGAAUUCCUGGUGUAGCGGUGAAAUGCGCAGAUAUCAGGAGGAACACCGAUGGCGAAGGCAGGUCUCUGGGCCGAUACUGACGUGGAGGAGCGAA
rnacentral:rRNA from 1 species